GAUUGGCUGGGGAGACACGGGGUUUCCUGAGACAGCUGUGCCAACUGGGCUUAUCAUGGUGGGCUUCCUGAGAGAGGUGGCACUGAGCUUUCCUCUGAAGCCUAGGGAUUUAAGGAAGCUGGCAUCCAUCCAGAUGCUGUUGAGAGGCUACCCAGAUGCCCAAGGUUAAAGGUCAGCCCUCCAUCGGCAGAGGUUGCUAGGUUACCACUGUGUUACCCAUAGAAUAUGAAAGGCCAGGAAGUUGGAAGGAAGGCCACUACCCACUGAUUACAAACCUGAGAUUCAGGUCCCAGCCAGCCUAGAUCUAAAGCCAGAGUCCACCAGUCCGCAUGCAGCCUCCCCAGCGCUCACCAUUGUUCAUGAGGCUCAAAGGUGUGAGGGGAAGAGAGAAGAGGGGUCAAGAGGUCAUGAUCUUCUAGAACCUUCCACCUCCACAUUCGAAGUGCCCAUGUGACCCAGUUCCUUUCAGUUACCUGAACGGAUUCUUGAUCAUGUUCCAGUCGAGGACCCAAUUCAGGAAAUAGUCCAGCAAGAUUGUCCCCUGUACCCCAAGGGCCAACAUGAAGAAGCUGAAGGCCACACUGCUCCAGCCGUGUCUCCGAAAGGAUGAGGACAGGAAGCCGAAACCCAAGGCUGCCACAAGGGUCAAAUCCUGGAUGACUGUGAGUGGGGAGGGGUAGAGUAGGUGGGGACAAAGGGAGAAAGGGUGAGACACAGUGGCCACUGGAAGGGACUUCUGAGAUCAUUUAAGAGAACUUGGCCAAAUUGCCCCUCCUCUUUGGGCCUCAACUUUCCCAUCUGAAUAAUGGGAUAAUGACUACUGAGCAGGCAGGGGCGUGGUGUGGGUAGAUGAGUGAGAGCUGGUGAAGUGAUUCCAGUAGGUAUGAGUGCACAGGACAUGAUCAACCGUUAUGAGAAAUAAACAGCAUGGCGUGGGCAA